UAAUGAAAAAAAAAAGAAAAAAAAGGAUUGAACAUUGGAGUAGACGUUGGCAGAGUUUAAGCCAUAGACUAGUUAUUGAAGAAGUAUGUAUAGUAUCGUUGAAGUUGAACAUCUUCCUUCAAUUGACAAAGAUGAUAAUAGGAAGAGCAGUUACAAAGAGAUCAUCGUGGUGUGUGAGGUGUUUUUCAGUUUCCAGUGUUGAAUUUAAUGGAAAUCGGCGAUUAGCAGCCCUUUGGGGGAACGGUGAUCAUGGCAGGCUAGGGCAUGGAAGUCUUGAGUCGCAAUGGAGACCUAAUGUUCUUCCUUCUUCUGCUUUUCAUAAUCAAAACCUCCGUCAAAUUGCAUGUGGCGGAGCUCAUUCUCUCUUUCUCACAGAUCAUGGUCGUGUUUAUGCCUGUGGACUCAAUGAUUAUGGACAGCUAGGGGUGUCAGAUGACAGAGCUUAUAUAAGUGAACCACUUGGAGUCGCUGGACUACCCAAAGAAAUUGUAAAAGUUUCAGCUGGUUGUCAUCAUUCUUCUGCUAUUACAGUGGAUGGAGAACUUUAUAUGUGGGGGAAGAACACAUAUGGUCAGCUUGGCCUUGGAAAGAAAGCUGAUACGGUACUGUCUAUACCCAAUAAAGUUGAAUGCUUGAAUGGAGUCACAAUCAAAAUCAUUUCCCUAGGUUUCGAACACUCAAUUGCUGUAACAGAUAAAGGUGAGACUUUGAGUUGGGGUGGGGGACAAUCAGGAAGACUUGGUCAUGGACAUCAAUCAGGCAUUUUUGGACUCAUAAAAAGUGACAGUGAAUACACACCACGACUUAUUAAGGAACUUGAGGGGUUGAAGGUUAAGAAUGCUUCUGCUGGAAUGUUGCAUUCUGUCUGCAUUAGCGCCACAGAGAAUGGAUCCGUACAUAUUUUUGGCGAAAGAGCAAAUAAGAAAUUGGGCUUUAGUGAAGCAUCAAAUUGUUCGCUACCAUCUGUGGUAGAUGGACUUCCAUAUGCUGAAAAGGCUGCAUGUGGAGGCUAUCAUACCUGUGUUAUUACAGGUGGUGGAGAACUGUACGUGUGGGGCACCAAUGAAAAUGGGUGUCUUGGUAUUGGAUCUACAGAUGUCGCUCAUUUACCUGAAAGAGUUGAAGGACCAUUUUUGAGGCAUUCAGUUUCUGAGGUAUCCUGUGGUUGGAAGCAUACAGCAGCAAUUUCUGUCUCCCCUUCCAAGUUGGAGAUAUCGACGCCACGGCUGAGACAAGACCAUAGCUAAGAAGGUGAAGACGUCGGAUGCUGUAGUGGAGAAUAAUUUAAUUUAUAUGAAUUUUUAAAUGAAAGAGAGUAGGUACAUACACCAUCAGAAAUUAGUGAAGGUGUUUUGCCAACCAUUGCAUGAGUGUAGGAGGAAAUGUUUACACUUGGGGAUGGGGAGGCUCCCAUGGGACGUUUUCUGUAGAUGGACAUUCUUCUGGCGGACAACUGGGUCAAGGAAAUGAUGUUGAUUACAUUAAGCCUACAAAAAUCAACUUUCGUAGACACGUAAAAGCAUUGCAAGUAUCCUGUGGGUUUAACCAUACAGGUGCUAUAUUUGAAUACUAGUUGGAACAUCAGUCUCGUUGUUUCUUGUCACGAAGGCAAAAAUAUAAUCUGCUGCUUACGGAAGGUUUGCAAAUUAGCUAAAUCUGACCUAAAUUCAAUUUCACGAUCACAUAUAUAAGCAGUCUGUUAUUGCAGCUAUACACUCCGCUUAACGAUUUGAAUGUAACCUUCAUACUAAACCUGUUUAUACCCAGUUUGUACCUUGUAAAUUCUAGCUUGUAUCAAAUAAAAUACGGAAAAGGAUUAAAAUGUCCUUAAUGUA